CUGGAGUUUCUUCCAGCUAACUUUGGAAGACUUGUCAAGUUGAGAAUUUUGGAGCUAAGAGAGAAUCACUUGAAAACUCUACCAAACACUGGAAGAUGAAGAGUGUGCUCUUGCCCAUCGCCUGAGUGUGCAGUGGCACCAACGGCAGAGGAUGUGGAGUCCGCAGGUUUUCGGGCACCAGAAAUGGCAGCAUCAGGAGCAUCAGCACGAGUAGACCGUGUUGACGUCAAUGCACAAACUGACUCAACUGGAGAGGCUUGAUUUGGGCAAUAACGAAUUUUCUGAACUGCCUGAGGUUCUGGA